UGGGGAAUAUUGGACAAUGGGCGAAAGCCUGAUCCAGCCAUGCCGCGUGUGUGAAGAAGGCCUUUUGGUUGUAAAGCACUUUAAGCGAGGAGGAGGCUACUUAGAUUAAUACUCUAGGAUAGUGGACGUUACUCGCAGAAUAAGCACCGGCUAACUCUGUGCCAGCAGCCGCGGUAAUACAGAGGGUGCGAGCGUUAAUCGGAUUUACUGGGCGUAAAGCGUGCGUAGGCGGCUUUUUAAGUCGGAUGUGAAAUCCCUGAGCUUAACUUAGGAAUUGCAUUCGAUACUGGGAAGCUAGAGUAUGGGAGAGGAUGGUAGAAUUCCAGGUGUAACGGUGAAAUGCGUAGAGAUCUGGAGGAAUACCGAUGGCGAAGGCAGCCAUCUGGCCUAAUACUGACGCUGAGGUACGAAAGCAUGGGGAGCAAACAGG
rnacentral:rRNA from 1 species